GAUGAAAGAACGUAGCGAAAUGCGAUACGUAAUGUGAAUUGCAGAAUUCAGUGAAUCAUCGAGUCUUUGAACGCACAUUGCGCCCCCUGGUAUUCCGGGGGGCAUGCCUGUCCGAGCGUCAUUGCUGCCCUCAAGCACGGCUUGUGUGUUGGGCCUCCGCCCCCCGGCUCCCGGGGGGCGGGCCCGAAAGGCAGCGGCGGCACCGCGUCCGGUCCUCGAGCGUAUGGGGCUUCGUCACCCGCUCCGUAGGCCCGGCCGGCGCCCGCCGGCGACCCCCCUCAAUCUUUCCAGGUUGACCUCGGAUCAGGUAGGGAUACCCGCUGAACUUAAGCAUAUCAAUAAGCGGAGGA
rnacentral:misc_RNA from 1 species